rnacentral:rRNA from 1 species
GAUGAACGCUGGCGGCGUGCCUAAUACAUGCAAGUCGAGCGAAGUGGCGGGAGGGUGAGUAAUGCCUAGGAAACUGCCUGGUAGUGGGGGAUAACGUCCGGAAACGGGCGCUAAUACCGCAUACUAUCAGAUGAGCCUAGGUUGGAUUAGCUAGUUGGUGGGGUAAAGGCCUACCAAGGCGACGAUCCGUAACUGGUCUGAGAGGAUGGUCAGUCACACUGGAACUGAGACACGGCCCAGACUCCUACGGGAGGCAGCAGUGGGGAAUAUUGGACAAUGGGCGAAAGCCUGAUCCAGCCAUGCCGCGUGUGUGAAGAAGGUCUUCGGAUUGUAAAGCACUUUAAGUUGGGAGGCGUUACCAACCUAAUAAGCCCCGGCUAACUUCGUGCCAGCAGCCGCGGUAAUUC